rnacentral:rRNA from 1 species
UACAGAGGAGCCAAGCGUUGUCCGGAUUGACUGGGCGUAAAGCGCACGCAGGCGGACGCGCGCGGGGGGUGUGAAAUCUGGCCGCUUAACGGCCAGGCGCCAUCCCAUACGGCGCGUCUGGAGUGAUGCAGAGGUCGAUGGAAUUGCCGGUGUAGUGGUGAAAUGCGUAGAGAUCGGCAGGAACACCCAGGGGGAAACCAGUCGACUGGGCAUCUACUGACGCUGAGGUGCGAGAGCGUGGGGAGCGAACCGG